rnacentral:rRNA from 1 species
CCUGGUUGAUUCUGCCAGUAGUCAUAUGCUUGUCUCAAAGAUUAAGCCAUGCAUGUCUAAGUAUAAGCAAUUAUACAGCGAAACUGCGAAUGGCUCAUUAUAUAAGUUAUCGUUUAUUUGAUAGUGCCUUACUACUUGGAUAACCGUGGUAAUUCUAGAGCUAAUACAUGCUAAAAACCCCGACUUCGGAAGGGGUGUAUUUAUUAGAUACAAAACCAAUGCCCUUCGGGGCUCUUUGGUGAUUCAUGAUAACUAUACGAAUCGCACGGCCUUGCGCCGGCGAUGGUUCAUUCAAAUUUCUUCCCUAUCAACUUUCGAUGUUUGGGUAUUGGCCAAACAUGGUUGCAACGGGUAACGGAGGGUUAGGGCUCGACCCCGGAGAAGGAGCCUGAGAAACGGCUACUACAUCCAAGGAAGGCAGCAGGCGCGCAAAUUACCCAAUCCCGACUCGGGGAGGUAGUGACAAUAAAUACUGAUACAGGGCCCUUUCGGGCCUUGUAAUUGGAAUGAGUACAAUUUAAAUCCCUUAACGAGGAACAAUUGGAGGGCAAGUCUGGUGCCAGCAGCCGCGGUAAUUCCAGCUCCAAUAGCGUAUAUUAAAGUUGUUGUGGUUAAAAAGCUCGUAGUUGAACCUUGGGCCUGGCUGGCCGGUCCGCCUCACCGCGUGCACUGGUCCGGCCGGGCCUUUCCCUCUGUGGAACCCCAUACCCUUCACUGGGCGUGGCGGGGAAACAGGACAUUUACUUUGAAAAAAUUAGAGUGCUCCAGGCAGGCCUAUGCUCGAAUACAUUAGCAUGGAAUAAUAAAAUAGGACGCGCGGUUCUAUUUUGUUGGUUUAUAGGACCGCCGUAAUGAUUAAUAGGGACAGUCGGGGGCAUCAGUAUUCAACUGUCAGAGGUGAAAUUCUUGGAUCAGUUGAAGACUAACUACUGCGAAAGCAUUUGCCAAGGAUGUUUUCAUUAAUCAGGAACGAAAGUUAGGGGAUCGAAGACGAUCAGAUACCGUCGUAGUCUUAACCAUAAACUAUGCCGACUAGGGAUCGGACGGUGUUAUUCAUGACCCGUUCGGCACCUUACGAGAAAUCAAAGUGCUUGGGCUCCAGGGGGAGUAUGGUCGCAAGGCUGAAACUUAAAGAAA